UCGACCACGAUUGUUGACGGUUGUAGAUCGCGUUUAGUGAUAGGCAUCCUUCGUCUCGUUCAAGGCUUGCUGAGUUCAGUUCGUUUUUUUUUUUGUUCUCUCUAAUUAAGUGGCUGAUUAGUUUUAGUUAAUUUUUUUUACGGUGCUAGUAGUUAUCAAGGAAGUGAGUGACUUUCCUGAGAGCAGUAUUCACGAGUGAGCCUGAGUGAAUCAUAAAAUAAAACUUUUUCACUAGUGACGAGGAAGGCAACUACGGGCUGAAGCAAAAUUCUCUCAAAACUAAAUUAACGUGUCUCUGAUUAGCCCCCGUCUCAUUUCGAAUUAAAACAAGCUCAAGAUGCCGAAGCCAGUCGUCCAAGUCGGCGAUGAUCCCGAUCCAAGCGAGUGGCUGUUCAUCUCGCUCGAACAGAAGCGUAUCGAUCAAAGCAAGCCGUACGAUGCCAAGAAGGCUUGCUGGGUUCCGGAUGAGAAGGAGGGCUUCGUGCUGGGUGAAAUCAAGGCCACCAAGGGCGAUCUUGUCACCGUAGGCCUGCCCGGUGGUGAGACCAAGGAUUUCAAGAAGGAUUUGGUCGGCCAGGUCAAUCCACCCAAAUACGAGAAAUGCGAGGAUAUGUCCAAUUUGACAUACCUUAACGAUGCAUCUGUAUUGCAUAACUUGAGAGAGCGAUAUAAGGCCAAGCUGAUCUACACCUACUCCGGCUUGUUCUGCGUUGUCAUCAAUCCCUACAAGCGUUGGCCGCUGUAUACCAUGCGUGUCGCCAAGAUGUACCGUGGUAAGCGUCGUGCUGAAGUGCCGCCCCAUCUAUUCGCCGUUUCUGACGGUGCCUACGUUAACAUGUUGACCAACCACGAGAACCAGUCUAUGUUGAUUACCGGUGAGUCUGGUGCCGGAAAGACUGAGAACACGAAGAAGGUCAUUGCGUACUUCGCCACCAUUGGCGCGUCCGGCAAGAAGGAUGAAUCCGCUGAGAAGAAGGGCUCCCUGGAAGAUCAGGUCGUCCAAACCAAUCCCGUACUUGAGGCCUUCGGUAAUGCCAAGACCGUCCGUAACGAUAACUCUUCCCGUUUCGGUAAGUUCAUCCGUAUCCACUUCACUGGAUCGGGUAAACUGGCUGGUGCUGAUAUUGAGACCUACCUGCUGGAGAAGGCCCGUGUCAUUUCCCAGCAGUCUCUGGAACGCUCGUACCAUAUCUUCUACCAAAUCAUGUCCGGUGCUGUUAAGGGACUGAAAGAGAUGUGCUUCCUAUCCAACGAUAUCUACGAUUACUUCAACGUUUCUCAGGGUAAAGUCACUAUUCCCAACGUCGACGACGGCGAAGAAUGUUCGUUGACGGACGAAGCCUUCAACGUUUUGGGUUUCACUCAGGACGAGAAGGACAACAUCUACCGUAUCACCGCCGCUGUCAUGCAUAUGGGUGGCAUGAAGUUCAAGCAAAAGGGUCGCGAAGAGCAGGCUGAAGCCGACGGUACCGAGGAGGGUGAUCGCGUCGCCAAGCUGCUGGGUUGCGUCACUGAGGAUCUGUACAAGAAUCUGUUGAAGCCACGUAUCAAGGUCGGUACCGAAUUCGUCACCAAGGGUCAGAACAAGGACCAGGUCACCAACGCCGUCGGUGCCCUUUGCAAGGGUAUCUUCGAUCGUCUCUUCAAAUAUUUGGUCAAGAAGUGUAACGAGACUCUGGAUACCAAGCAGAAGCGUGCUCAGUUCAUUGGUGUACUGGAUAUUGCUGGUUUCGAGAUUUUCGACUACAACGGCUUCGAGCAGAUCUGUAUCAAUUUCACCAAUGAGAAGCUGCAGCAGUUCUUCAACCAUCACAUGUUCGUUCUGGAGCAGGAGGAAUACAAGCGGGAAGGUAUCAACUGGGCCUUCAUCGAUUUCGGUAUGGACUUGCUGGCCUGUAUUGAGAUGAUUGAAAAGCCUAUGGGUAUCCUCUCCAUCCUUGAGGAAGAAUCUAUGUUCCCGAAAGCUACUGAUCAAACCUUUGCCGAGAAGCUGAUGACCAACCAUUUGGGCAAGUCUCCUCCAUUCCAGAAGCCCAAACCACCAAAGCCAGGUUGCCAGCCUGCUCACUUUGCCAUCGGUCACUACGCUGGUGUUGUCUCGUACAACAUCACCGGAUGGCUUGAGAAGAACAAGGAUCCCCUGAACGAUACCGUCGUCGAUCAGUUCAAGAAGGGUCAGAACUUGCUGCUGGUGGAGAUCUUCGCCGAUCAUCCCGGACAGUCCGCUGCUCCAGAUGCCGGUGGCGGCAAGGGUGGACGUGGUAAGAAGGGUGCCGGUUUCGCCACUGUCUCCUCAUCCUACAAGGAACAGUUGAACAACCUGAUGACCACUCUGAAAUCUACUCAGCCUCACUUCGUCCGUUGUAUCAUUCCAAACGAAUUGAAACAGACCGGUCUGAUUGAUGCUCACUUGGUCAUGCACCAGCUGACCUGUAACGGUGUACUUGAAGGUAUCCGUAUUUGCCGUAAAGGUUUCCCCAACCGAAUGAUGUAUCCUGACUUCAAGCUGCGUUACCUUAUCUUGGCUCCUGCCGCCAUGCAGGCUGAAUCUGAACCGAAGAAGGCUGCUGAGAGGUGCUUCGAAUCUAUUGGUUUGGAUCCCGAUUCCUACCGUAUCGGACAUACCAAGGUAUUCUUCCGUGCCGGUGUCCUGGGUCAAAUGGAGGAAUUCCGUGACGAGCGUCUCUCCAAGAUCAUGUCCUGGAUGCAGUCCUGGUGCCGUGGUUACCUGUCCCGUAAGGAGUUCAAGAAGAUGCAGGAACAGCGUGUCGCCCUGGAGAUUGUCCAGCGCAAUCUGCGCAAGUACCUGAAACUGCGUACCUGGGCCUGGUGGAAACUGUGGCAGAAGGUCAAGCCUCUGCUUAACGUUUCCCGCGUUGAGGAUCAGAUUGCCAAACUGGAAGAGAAGGCCCAGAAGGCUCAGGAGGCUUUCGAGAAGGAAGAGAAGCUUCGCAAGGAGCUGGAGUCUCUGAACAGCAAGCUGCUGGCUGAGAAGACCGCUCUGCUCGACUCGCUGUCCGGUGAAAAGGGUGCCCUCCAGGAGUACCAGGAGAAGUCGGCCAAGUUAACCGCCCAGAAGAACGACCUCGAGAACCAGCUGCGCGACACCCAGGAGCGCCUGGCUCAGGAGGAAGAUGCCCGCAACCAACUGUUCCAGACCAAGAAGAAGUUGGAGCAGGAAAUUUCCGGCCAGAAGAAGGAUGCCGAAGAUCUGGAACUGCAGAUCCAAAAGAUCGAGCAGGAUAAGGCCUCCAAGGAUCACCAGAUCCGCAACUUGAACGAUGAGAUUGCCCACCAGGACGAGCUGAUCAACAAGUUGAACAAGGAAAAGAAGAUGCAGGGUGAGGUCAACCAGAAAACCGCCGAGGAACUGCAGGCCGCCGAAGACAAGGUUAACCACCUGAACAAAGUGAAGGCCAAGCUCGAGCAGACUCUGGAUGAGCUGGAGGAUUCUCUGGAGCGUGAGAAGAAACUGCGCGGUGAUGUUGAGAAAGCCAAGCGCAAGGUUGAGGGUGACCUGAAACUGACUCAGGAAGCCGUUGCCGAUCUGGAACGCAACAAGAAGGAACUUGAGCAGACCAUCCUGCGCAAGGACAAGGAGAUCUCCGCCCUCUCUGCCAAGCUUGAGGAUGAGCAAUCGCUGGUCGGCAAACUGCAGAAACAAAUUAAGGAACUGCAGGGCCGCAUCGAAGAGCUGGAGGAGGAAGUCGAAGCCGAACGUCAAGCUCGUGCCAAGGCUGAGAAGCAGCGUGCCGAUCUGGCUCGUGAGUUGGAAGAACUGGGCGAGCGUCUUGAGGAAGCCGGUGGUGCCACCUCGGCCCAGAUUGAGCUGAACAAGAAGCGUGAGGCCGAGCUUGCUAAACUGCGUCGUGACUUGGAAGAAGCCAACAUCCAGCAUGAGGGCACUCUGGCCAAUCUGCGCAAGAAGCACAACGAUGCCGUCGCCGAAAUGGCCGAACAGGUCGAUCAACUCAACAAGCUGAAGACUAAAGCUGAACACGAUCGCGCUAACAUGUACAAUGAGCUGAACAACACUCGCUCCGCUUGUGAUCAGCUUGCUCGUGAAAAGGCCGCCCAAGAGAAGAUCGCCAAGCAGCUGCAGCACACCCUGAACGAGGUGCAAGGCAAGCUGGACGAAACCAACCGCACUCUGAACGACUUCGAUGCCUCCAAGAAGAAGCUGUCCAUUGAGAACUCCGACCUGCUCCGCCAGCUGGAGGAUGCCGAAUCUCAGGUUUCGCAGCUGAGCAAGAUCAAGAUCUCGCUCACCCAGCAACUCGAGGACACCAAGCGUCUGGCUGAUGAGGAAUCACGCGAGCGUGCCACCCUUCUCGGUAAGUUCCGCAAUCUGGAACACGACCUGGACAACCUCCGCGAACAGGUUGAGGAGGAAGCUGAGGGUAAGGGAGACAUCCAGCGCCAACUCAGCAAAGCCAACGCCGAGGCACAGCUGUGGCGUAGCAAGUACGAGUCGGAGGGUGUUGCCCGUGCCGAGGAGCUCGAGGAAGCCAAGAGGAAGCUCCAGGCUCGUCUCGCCGAAGCCGAGGAGACCAUUGAGUCGCUCAACCAGAAGUGCAUUGCCCUGGAGAAGACCAAGCAGCGCCUGUCCACCGAGGUCGAAGAUCUGCAACUCGAGGUUGACCGUGCUACCUCGAUUGCCAAUGCCGCCGAGAAGAAACAGAAGGCAUUCGACAAGAUCAUCGGAGAAUGGAAGCUUAAGGUCGACGAUCUGGCUGCUGAGCUGGACGCUUCCCAGAAGGAAUGUCGUAACUAUUCCACCGAAUUGUUCCGUCUCAAGGGUGCCUACGAAGAAGGCCAGGAACAGCUUGAAGCCGUUCGCCGUGAGAACAAGAAUCUGGCCGAUGAAGUCAAGGAUCUUCUGGACCAGAUCGGCGAGGGUGGCCGCAACAUUCAUGAGAUCGAGAAGUCUCGCAAGCGCCUGGAAGCCGAAAAAGACGAGCUGCAGGCCGCUCUUGAGGAAGCUGAAGCCGCUCUGGAACAGGAGGAGAACAAGGUUCUCCGUGCUCAGCUUGAACUGUCUCAGGUCCGUCAAGAAAUUGACAGACGCAUUCAGGAGAAGGAAGAGGAAUUCGAAAACACCCGCAAGAACCACCAGCGUGCCCUGGACUCUAUGCAGGCCUCCCUCGAAGCCGAAGCCAAGGGUAAGGCUGAGGCCCUGCGCAUGAAGAAGAAGUUGGAAGCCGACAUCAACGAACUGGAAAUCGCUUUGGACCAUGCCAACAAGGCUAACGCUGAGGCCCAGAAGAACAUCAAACGCUACCAACAACAACUGAAGGACAUCCAGAGCGCCCUGGAAGAAGAGCAACGUGCCCGUGACGAUGCCCGUGAACAACUCGGAAUCUCCGAACGCCGUGCCAAUGCCCUGCAGAACGAACUCGAGGAAUCGCGCACCCUUCUGGAGCAGGCCGAUCGUGGCCGUCGCCAGGCCGAACAGGAGUUGGGCGAUGCUCAUGAGCAGUUGAACGAAGUUUCUGCCCAGAAUGCAUCGAUCGCCGCUGCCAAGAGGAAGCUCGAAUCUGAACUGCAGACCCUGCACUCCGACUUGGAUGAACUGUUGAACGAAGCCAAGAACUCCGAAGAGAAGGCCAAGAAGGCUAUGGUUGAUGCUGCUCGUCUUGCCGAUGAGCUCCGUGCCGAACAGGACCAUGCCCAGACCCAGGAGAAGCUGCGCAAGGCUCUUGAACAACAGAUUAAGGAAUUGCAGGUCCGCCUGGACGAAGCCGAAUCCAACGCCCUCAAGGGAGGCAAGAAGGCUAUCCAGAAACUGGAACAGCGCGUACGUGAGCUGGAAUCCGAGCUGGACAGCGAACAGAGAAGACACGCCGAUGCCCAGAAGAACCUCCGCAAAUCCGAACGCCGCAUUAAGGAACUGACCUUCCAGUCCGAGGAAGACCGCAAGAAUCAUGAACGCAUGCAGGACCUCGUCGACAAACUGCAGCAGAAGAUCAAGACUUACAAGAGGCAGAUUGAGGAAGCCGAGGAAAUCGCCGCCUUGAAUCUGGCUAAAUUCCGCAAGGCUCAGCAAGAACUGGAGGAAGCCGAGGAACGUGCCGACAUCGCCGAACAAGCUGCCACCAAAUUCCGCACCAAGGGACGUGCCGGUUCAGUGCAGCGUGGUGCUAGCCCAGCACCUUCGGUCGUCAGAGCGUAAGAGCGCUGCUAGAAAACCAAAGAUAGAUUUCUAUCCAUCUUACAAUCGAAUGAACCAAACUAUCCGUUCGCAGUUCCCCAGAGACAACCAUCUGCUUUACCCGGAUUUGGAGGUUUUAACCUUCCCACAUUCGACGACCAUGCUUUCUAAAUACUAAAACACCAAAAAAAACUUAUUGUUAGAAAAGGCUACACGUUUUAUUUAUUUUAUUUACACUUAAAACACACGAGCAUUCGCGGACGUCCCAACAAACAUCGAAGGAUAAACAAAAGAUUUCAGAGCCAAUCAGCGUCACACGGCACGUUUUCAGUCUAUCGCACGCACACGCACACACACACACACACAAUCGCCAGUGUGUCGUCGAACGAUCAGCAAGCCACCAUGAAACGAAAUAUGAAAUGAGAGAGAGAGAAUUUUACAACCGACAACAAUCAAAAACGCCCACACAUACACAUUUGUUUCAGCCCGGACAAGUAGUAUUGUUUUGUGUUGUGUGAGAGGUGAAACCGGACCUGUGUGUCACUAACUAUGUAAAAGAUUAUCUUAACAUACGUACCCAAAGAGCUUUCCUAGCGAACGUCACGCGAAGUGGCACGUGCUGCAAAAAAAAAGAAUAUGAGAGAGAAAAUCGUCAGUCAUCGAAAAACAAUUUAAAAAUCAACAAGAGAGAAAGCAAUCCAUCAAAACAUAAUGAUAAUGAAACAUUGUUCUAAGUUAUCAUGUUUUAGUUUUUAUUUACUUUUGUAUUCUAUUUUAUUUUGUACUUUCGCUCUGAAUCUUUUAUAAUUUUAUUAAUAAAAAAUGUAUUUAUUUUUAUUAAUUAAAAUAACGAAAUAAGAUACUAUUCGAACUAAAAAAAAAAUGGAAUUAAUUUAGUUUUUACUAUGAAACAAAAAAAAAUUACGCUUCGCAGACGAACUAUCCGAAUAUGCGUUAAACCGAUUGCUAGCCUCAGCUGUAACCGACCGUGUUCCGAUACGAUUACAAUGCGUAGUUCGUUUAGCACAGUCCUGUACUAGAAAAAAAUGAGAUCUUUGUUAGGCAAAACACAAAAUAGAGACACGUUCAAACCAACAUCCCGCAUCAGCCCAUUAGUAACAUUACCAAAACGAAGAAGGACCUUCGUCGUGCCACGAUCAACGAUGACGGCUACGUGUUCGAUCGUUCCGCUACCGAAUUGUCAUCUGAUUCCCGUUCAAAUGUCAUCCGAAACUGGCGUCGGUUACAGUCCGAUGGCUGUCAGCGGCCUUUAAUGCCAGCUCCAGUGAAGCCCAGAAGCGAACCGCAAGGACUCUUGAGAACGAUCCUUUUUCACGACUUUACUACAAAAACGUCGAAAGAGAGAAAGAGACAAAAAAAGGAAAAACACUAGAAAAAAUUAGAGCAACCAACCAACCUGAUUCGUAUUUGACUUUAGUACUGUCCUAUAGAGAAGAUGAAGAAGAAAUCAGAAAUUUCUUGGAGAGAAGGAAGCUAUUGUAAAUGUAUAUGUGUGAAAAAGAAAAUCCUUAAAAAAUAAAUCAAACUUUAUUUUAAAAA